GAAGUACAUCGACUUCAAGGAAGUGACGCAGCUGCAGUGCAACUCCAAAGCCUCCAACAGCUUCAUGUGAGGUCAAUUAAUGUAUUCAGUGUUAUAAUUAACAGCCCAGUUUAUCUUGUGACACAUGGAUAUCAGCUGUACUGUGGCCGUGUUGUUUGCUAGCUAACAGAGAGCUAAAAGGUGAUUUAGCACCCCCACAGCAGCUGUAUAUUUAGACUUGCUAACUGUUUUGUGGUGAAUUUUAUCUUUAAACAUAAUGUAGGAGCAAAAUAAUAGAUGAGGGAAUUAUCUUAACUCACUGUUGUGUCUAUUUUAUUUCAAAAUACAGAUAUGUAUCAGGAAGCUGGCUGUCUACAUCCUGUUACAACAGAAAGUACAUCAACUUCAAGGAAGUGACGCAGCUGCAGUGUGACUCAAAAACCAUCAAGUCUUCAUGUGAGGAGAAGCCCUGUCGGAUCCAGAACCAGCGCUGAGGCUCUUUUCGCAGGUGAGGCUCUCUCAUGGAGGCAGUGUGUGAGCAGCUCCAUGGAGGUGGUGGUGGUGGUGAUGAGGAGGAGGAGGAGGAGCAGGCAGGAGCAGAGGAAGCCAUGCUGUGGUCCAUCCAGGAGGCUCUGGAGAGGCAGACCCUGCAGAUAGGAGCGUCAGCCUGCGGGGCCACAGCUGUGGUGGACGUGCUGAAGGCCCUCGGCGUGGACGUGGCCCCUGAGGAAGCAGACCGCUGCGUCCGGACACACCUGAGGAGGAACGAGUCACCGCUGCCGGACUACCUGCUGUCCCGGAGUGAAGCUGGUGCGACUCACGCUCAGCUCAUUGAAGGAGCAGAAGAGGCCAGUCAUGGGAAGGUGACAGGUCGCUUCUUCCACCUCCACCCCCGGCGUCUGGUCAGGCUGGUACCGUGGCUCGCCAGCUGGAUCCGAAAAGGCGCCGUUCCCGUGGCGACCAUGAACAUGCAGCUUGCCGUACCUGAGGGAGAGGAGGUGCCUGACGCCUGGCACCACCAGCUCAUAUUUGGUGUUGCAUCGAAUGCUGUUUUCAUGACCAAUCCUUUAGAUGUAGUGAGCGACCGAGAGUUGCACCAGAGACUCUGCAGCGAAUCGGUGCUGCUGAUUCGUCGAGAAGACGUUCUUCAGCGACUGACGCCGGACUGCAGCCUGUCAAGCUUAUCCGAGCAGCGGUGGAAAGCCCUGGACGUCGAGGGUCAAGUGAGACAGAUGCACCAAGAAGAGGAAGAGGAAGACGAUGGAGCCAAGUUAACACACAUCAGGAUCCCUGCAGCGUACAGUUCAGGCGUCACUUUCUUCGCCCUACGAGAAUCAGAGUUAGGACAAGAACUCCUCAGUGCUCCUGAACUACCUUGUUUGUGA
rnacentral:lncRNA from 1 species